rnacentral:rRNA from 1 species
CUGGGGAACUCUUACCAUGCAGUCGACGGUGUCUUCGGACACAGUGGCGGACGGGUGAGUAACGCGUGAGAAUCUACCUUCAGGUCGGGGAUAACCCCUGGAAACGGGGGCUAAUACCGGAUAGGUCGAAAGAUGAAAGGUUAACUGCCUGAAGAGGAGCUCGCGUCUGAUUAGCUAGUAGGUGUGGUAAGAGCGCACCUAGGCGACGAUCAGUAGCUGGUCUGAGAGGAUGAGCAGCCACACUGGGACUGAGACACGGCCCAGACUCCUACGGGAGGCAGCAGUGGGGAAUUUUCCGCAAUGGGCGAAAGCCUGACGGAGCAAGACCGCGUGGGGGAGGAAGGCCUUUGGGUUGUAAACCCCUUUUGUUAGGGAAGAAAAAAAUGACGGUACCUAACGAAUCAGCCUCGGCUAACUCCGUGCCAGCAGCCGCGGUAAUACGGAGGAGGCAAGCGUUAUCCGGAAUUAUUGGGCGUAAAGCGUCCGUAGGUGGCCCGGCAAGUCUGCUGUCAAAGACCACAGCUCAACUGUGGAAAGGCAGUGGAAACUGCAAGGCUAGAGUGCGGUAGGGGUAGAGGGAAUUCCCAGUGUAGCGGUGAAAUGCGUAGAGAUUGGGAAGAACACCGGUGGCGAAAGCGCUCUACUGGGCCGCAACUGACACUGAUGGACGAAAGCUAGGGGAGCGAAUGGGAUUAGAUACCCCAGUAGUCCUAGCUGUAAACGAUGGAAACUAGGUGUAGCACGUAUCGACCCGUGCUGUAUCGGAGCUAACGCGUUAAGUUUCCCGCCUGGGGGAGUACGCACGCAAGUGUGAAACUCAAAGGAAUUGACGGGGGGCCCGCACAAGCGGUGGAGUAUGUGGUUUAAUUCGAUGCAACGCGAAAGAACCUUACCAUGGUCUUGACAUGUCCCGGAAUCCUCUGUUGAAAGCAGAGGGUUGCCUUCCGGAGCCGGCAACACAUGUGGGUGCAAUGGCUGGUCGUUCAGGCCUCGUUGCUCGUGAGAUGUUGGGAUUAAGUUCCCCGCCAACGAAGUCGG